ACGCCGCGCCGCGCGCCCUCCUCCCGGGCGGCUCCUUAAAGGCCGAGCGCCGGCGCGGCUCCUCGGGCGGCUCGCGGAGAGGCACAGGAAAUGACCUCAGCAGGCUCCAGCCUCCCACCUCUCCGCACCGCCCGGCUCGUCCCUGGGGCGGCGGGGUCUCCCGGCCCCCCGCUCUGAGCUCUCUCCGCGGGGGCCGCACCGGCUGCCGCGCAGGGCGCCCGGGCGCCCGAGGAUCUGCUCAGCGUCCGGCCAGCUCGGGACCCUCGCAGGAUGAGGCGCAAGACCAGACCUCACCCCCCAGAGGAGGUUCCAGCAUUUGCUGGCCAUCUGUGAGAACGUUAUAACGCCCGGAUAUUUAGUGCACAGGUCUUUAUUUCCAACAGGCUGUCCCACUGCCAGACCCAUGCUGUGAUUUGGAAUUUGGGGGAAAAAAAGUCACCUUGGCUCGGAGUGUACUUUGCUUCCUUAUGUAUGUAUGUCUAUGCAUUAUGUAUGUGUUUAAAAGAGCAGGCUGAGGAACAAGAAAGGCAAACUGGACACUGCCUGCUGGGCAGCUAGAGCAGUCUUCGCACCCUCGUUCUUCAAGGGUCCCUUAGCUCGCGGGUACCAGGAGACUGGAACACUCGACUUUUUUGGCUCUCUGUCUAGGCCUGAACAGAGGCAACCACCACAGGGCCCACUUCUGCAAAGGGGCUUGGAAGACUCACUCCAGGCCGUGAUGAAGGAUCCCCUUGCUCCACCCCAAGUUUGAAUUUGAAUCUCUAGAGGUGAUGCUGCCGGAUUACACAGCUAACAACUUCCCCAAGCGAUUCUCGUGAACAAUUUUUAGAGCCCAGAUACUAUAGUAAGCUGGUCCCAGUAGUAGUAGUAGUAGUUAAGGAGGCCAAGGGCAAAAGUUCAACUGGGCCAAUGAGACUGCAAGGGCUGAACUUGCAAAUGGAUUUAUAACUCCUGGGGAUUGAGAGACAUCAACCCCAGACUGUGGGACACUGGCCUCUGCUAUCCCUUCAACACUCAGGAAGAUGCCUAAGAAAGCCCAAAAGCAAGUCUUCUGCAGUUUGUUAAGGAUGAUUCAUUGGUUCAUUCAUGCUUUCAUUCACCUUCAUCAACAUAGAUUUCAAAUAAUACAAAAAGGCUGACAAUGAAAAAUGUCUACUUCCCACCCUGCCCCUGUCCCCCAGACCACUCCUCCCCAAACACAAAAUUUCCUUUCAAGAUAGUUUAUGCAUAAAGUAUUCAUAAAUACAUAUGCAUUCA